GGGGUUCCUGUUAUUUUUGGGUGAAAGGAGGAGCGUGGGGGGCUCCAGAGGAGGUUUUGGUGUGAAUCAAGGAGUGUUAAGAGCAAGGGGGGGCUCUGCCUUAAUCCCCCCCCCCUGCCGGGGACUGCUGGAGGGGACACUGAGGACAUGGCAGGUCCUGGCUGGGGGAGAAGCCCCCUGGCUCCUUGUACCACGGGGGGGUCCCAGCAGUCACCGUGGGACACACAUUGGGAUGCUCCAGGCUGGAAAUACCCCGAGGGGGGGUUGGAAAAGGCCCCCCCCAAGUCCUCAUUGGGGCUCACAGAACUGCUGGGAUUUGGGGAGACAACCCUGGGAUGAGGAGAAAUAAGGGCCACUGGAGAGAAUAAAGAAGAAGAUGGUGCCUGGGAAGGUUUUUCCUCAAGAAAGAUUGAUCCAGGGAAGGUUCUUCCCAAAAAAGAUGGAGCUUGGGAAGGUUUUUCCCCAGAAAGAUGGUGCCUGGGAAGGUUCUUCCCAAGAAAGAUUGAUCCAGGGAAGGUUCUUCCCAAGAAAGAUUGAUCCAGGGAAGGUUCUUCCCAAGAAAGAUUGAUCCAGGGAAGGUUCUUCCCAAGAAAGAUUGAUCCAGGGAAGGUUUUUCCCCAGAAAGAUGGAGCCUGGGAAGGUUUUUCCCCAGAAAGAUUGAUCCAGGGAAGGUUUUUCCUCAAGAAAGAUGGAUCCAGGGAAGGUUCUUCCCCAAGAAAGAUGGAUCCAGGGAAGGUUCUUCCCCAAGAAAGAUGGAUCCAGGGAAGGUUCUUCCUCAAGAAAGAUGGAUCCAGGGAAGGUUCUUCCUCAAGAAAGAUGGAUCCAGGGAAGGUUCUUCUCAAGAAAGAUGGAUCCAGGGAAGGUUCUUCCCAAGAAAGAUGGAUCCAGGGAAGGUUCUUCCCAAGAAAGAUGGAUCCAGGGAAGGUUCUUCCUAAGAAAGAUUGAUCCAGGGAAGGUUCUUCCUAAAAAAAGAUGGAGCUUGGGAAGGUUUUUCCCCAGAAAGAUGGUGCCUGGGAAGGUUUUUCCCAAAAAAGGAUGAUGCCUGGGAAGGUUUUUCCCAAGAAAACAUGGGAAGAUUCCCCGAAAAAGCCGCUGGAACCAGGCUCCGUGAUCUCUUUAUCUCCGUCUUUUUCUCCACCUCUUCCUUUCUCCAUCCCUCGGUUUCUCGUCGAGUCGUUAAGUAACAAUUAGAGUCAUUACGUAAUGACCUUAAGUACCUCCUGCUGUAAUUCCUUUUAUACCCAACCGAUUAACGUGGCCUCGUUAAGACCUGGACUAAUCAUUUGGGAAACUAAUAAAUGUUUAUAUGUGGCCCUUGA